GUGAGGAAUAUUGGUCAAUGGGCGAGAGCCUGAACCAGCCAAGUAGCGUGAAGGAUGACUGCCCUAUGGGUUGUAAACUUCUUUUAUAAAGGAAUAAAGUCGGGUAUGGAUACCCGUUUGCAUGUACUUUAUGAAUAAGGAUCGGCUAACUCCGUGCCAGCAGCCGCGGUAAUACGGAGGAUCCGAGCGUUAUCCGGAUUUAUUGGGUUUAAAGGGAGCGUAGAUGGAUGUUUAAGUCAGUUGUGAAAGUUUGCGGCUCAACCGUAAAAUUGCAGUUGAUACUGGAUAUCUUGAGUGCAGUUGAGGCAGGCGGAAUUCGUGGUGUAGCGGUGAAAUGCUUAGAUAUCACGAAGAACUCCGAUUGCGAAGGCAGCCUGCUAAGCUGCAACUGACAUUGAGGCUCGAAAGUGUGGGUAUCAAACAGGAUUAGAAACCCCGGUAGUCC
rnacentral:rRNA from 1 species